GGGGGGGGGGGGGGGGUUGGUGGAUCAAGAACACGAAACUGUUAUAUCCUGAAAUGAGGAAAGAGAAAAAGACUUGCGUUCACAGAGUUCAAAGACAGUUUUGUAAACUGUCCCAUCAGCGGACAUGCCAGCAAUAAUCCUAACUCCCCCUCCAGGACCGGCUUCCUCUUGGCCCGCCUGGCCACGGGUGGGAGAGGAGGCAGGCCCUUCUCUGCAACUGGAAUCCUUGACCUCUGAGGACCCAGAGCCAGACUUGACUUUCUCCAGUCCCUCAGCCGACCCCAUUCCAACAUUAAUCGGGGCAGGUGCCUGAUUAGAGGAAGGCGCCUUCCACUUAAUCAAAGGGCCCCAACCAGACCCUGUCUCUCCCCUCGGGAAAGGGAGUGGCCAGGCCUCCUUGGUAUCAGGAUCAGGGAGAAGGAGGCCUUUCUCUCUGGGCUCAGACACUUGGUGUCUAAUGAGUACUUCCUUCCACAUCGUGAAAAUAUGAAAUAAUAGCGCCUUAGCCACACUACAUAACUACCUGCCAAGCCAUAGAAAUGCUUUUCUCACAGAUGACAUAGAUGAAUCGUCUUUAAACCGAAGCAAGGAGAUAAAGCCCUAAAACAUUCACUGUGAAGUGUUUGCUGGCCCUUGGCGGAAGCACUGAGCACGGGGGGUCCAGCGUGGCAGCCACCGAUGUCCUGGGCUCAUAUCUCGGCCCUGCCACUCACCAGAAGCUACUUCAACUAUGUACGCCUGUCCUCUCACCUGUAAAUGGGGUCGUGCAAGCGAAGGAUGGUGUUGGGAUCACGGGAGUAAAUGAACAUGACGUGCCCAGCAAAAUCCCUGGCACAUAGUAGCUUUUAGUAAACAGAAACCUAAGAGUGAGCUCUUAGGAUAGCUCCUAUGUGGAUGCACGUGGGUUUUUAGAAAGUGGGUAAAUAACUCUAUUUGCAUUGAAAUUGCAUCCAUAAAACUCAAAGGUACUUAGUCAUCAGUUUCCUGUCUUCCUAUUGCACAAACCGUUUCCUGUUCCCAGGACUGCUGACACCAGGAAGUAAAAGGACAAAGGACCUGAUGAAAAGGAGCCUUGAUCCUCCCAGGCUGGCUGUGUUGUCCGCAGCAGAGACCAAAGAUGGAAAGCUGGCCCGGGGCCCCCAAGCUCUUCAAGACCCAGUUUUCAGCUGCCAGACAGUAGAAAGAGCUCGGAAGCAGCGGGGCCAGUGAGGAAAAGGAGGCUGCGUCCCUCCCUUUCCUGCCCUGCUGACAACGGAGCAGACAGGUAGGGGGGCCUGGAAGGUCCGUGACAGGGUGGACAGGCACUGUCCAGACUCGCAGGAGCUCACAGAACCCUGGGAUCCCACCGCUGUGUUCUAACACCGACAGUUGCCGACUAACCCCAGGUUUAAAAAUGUGAUGCCCGAGCACCUGUUUGGCUGCCUUAGGCCAGUUCGAGGGCCUUCUCCAGUCCGUGCACGGGUGGCCACAGCCAACAACACAGGCAAGUGAACAAGUAGGGUGUCUCCUAGCAGACAUUCGGUAAACAAAGCAACGAGCACCCCCCCCCUUUUUAAAUCAGACGCCAUGGGAAAAAAUUGCUCAUGUUUUGAGGAACUUCAGGUCUGAGAGCGGGGGAUGGGGGGAACAUAUGUAUCUACAAUCGCAAGCGGCUUCUACAGGUCAGUUUCGUCAGGUCGCAUAUGAAGCAACUCGAGAGCCGGUGACAGCUCUGGCUUCCCAGGGCCUUCCCUGAAGUGACCUUGAUCUCUCCAAGUGAACCCCAGAAGCCUCAACUCCGGCCAAACGAGCUCUCUGACGCUGAUUUCCAUCGCCUCUGGAUCUGUCACCAUGCCCGGCUGGCAGACAACCUCUGCAAAGCUGACCCAGAGACCCAGGACUUUCUCUCCGUGGUUUUCAGGUUAUCAAAAGCAGCUUUCAGAGAAUCAUUUCAAGAUGAAAGCCGGGGGACCCACAACUAAAUCAAGGUAGCUGAAAAGAAAAAGGAAUCGUUUAAAUAAACACUUCUGGAAUUGGGGGUCCCUCUUGAGUGAAUUGCUCACUUCAUUACAACACUAAUGCUGAACAAAAUCCACGCUUGUCUCAUAUGUUACCAAAAGGGCAGAGUGUCAUCACUCCAUACCUGGGGGGUGUGACUGAGCCUGAACAAUAACUGAAUCCCUGACAAGGGCUCGAUAAGAAUUUUUCUCUCCAUAUCUGUUUUUACAGAACUCACUUACUGUAACCUCUGUAUACAACUGUGCACUAAGUAAGGGUAAUGCUGUACAGACCACAGCAAAAAAAUCCCAAAGCACUGAUUUUUACACCAGAUUUUCCCAAGGCAAAAUCCUGGUCCCAUGACUAAGCUGUCAGAUCACUUUGUAAAUGACACAGACCUGAGCGCAGGGCUUGGGCCUCCCUCUUGGGGCUUCCCCUCCCCCAUGCAGUCUCAAGCUCCGUUGCUCACUCCCUGCCUCUGCUUUUCCCCAUUUUCUGUGGUUGGAGGGUAUUUCCUACCAGCCCAGCAGCCUCUCCACACAGUCUCUGUGUUGCUACGAGUUACUUUAAACUUGGAACUUGCUGGUGUGAUGUGAUAGAAUUUUUUAUUUAUAACACAACAUAUGCAUACCAGCAGCACAAUGUGCGCGCACUGUAACCUUGUUCUUAAUGUCUGUCAGGGAACUUACUGGAUGGGAACCAUGACUGGCAUCUCAUUAUAGCUUUUUAAAAAUAUUUAACAUAAGACUGAGGCACUUGGGUGGCUCAGUCAGUUAGGCUUCAGACUCCUGAUCUCAGCUCAGGUCUUGAUCUUAGAGCUGUGAGUUCAAGCCCCGCAUUGGGCUCCACGCCAGGCAAUGGAGCCUACUUAAAAAUAACAAAUAAAUUGGGGCACCUGGGUGGCUCAGUAGGUUAAGCCUCUGCCUUCGGCUCAGGUCAUGAUCUCAGGGUCCUGGGAUCGAGUCCCACAUCUGGCUCUCUGCUCAGCGGGGAUCCUGCUUCCCCCUCUUUCUUUGCCUACUUGUGAUCUCUCUGUCAAAUGAAUAAAUAAAAUCUUUAAAACACACACACACACACACAUAAAUGAAUAAAUAAAUAAGUGACUGAAUGAAUAAAUAAAUAAUAAAAAUACUUAACCGAAGAUUUCUCAGUGCCAUUCACGCUUCCCCUGGCCCUGUAUUCAGCAGACUCGGCAGCGCACAGCAUCCAGGACGGUGUCGGUGUAGUCCAGGAAAUAAAGGGGAAUUGCAUGGGGAAGAAAAGAACUCCAGGAAAACACUCUCACAGGGCAGGUUUAUUUUUCAGGUUCUACACACAAAAAGACCGUUCCUUGUCUGCUAGCUCAGGUUUUAGCUCAUGUGUCUGUCAACCCCAUGGGGUUUCCACGGCUUUAGUCUUUCUAUGGAUCCUAAACUUCCCGUUGGCUCCGGGUGGUUCAACAGGCCGUUAAGGUCCUAGGCUGUGUUUGAAAUUGUUUGCAAGAUCUGCAUUGUUGACGAAAAGGUCCUGGUUUCUGUAUAAUGUUAACCAUAGGAAAAUAUUAAGAAGUCUUUCAGAGAAGAAAAAACAGAAGAGUUCUUGGACCCGCUGUUUGUUUUUCAUUGGAAUUGAAUUGAAUUAGUGGUCGACUUCACAAAACUAAAACAUGCUGCCAUUCACUAGCUAUGUUCCCCUGUUAGGAAUCAAAAGGAAGCCCCAGAUCUGGGGAGAAAAGCUUCAUGCUAAUUAAACCUCACAGUUUGUUCUACCGACACCCUAUCUGCUCAGCAACCAGGAGUUUCUGUGGCCAAGCCGUUCCAAGCAGAUAGCUCAGGAGCUGCGGUUCCCCCUCUGCAGUGGUAGGCCUCCAGUGAUUUUUAGCUGUAAGGUGCUUCUCAUCCCCAAAUUCUGACAAAGGAGAUUUGCAAAGCCUGUAGUCUUUCCUUCCUAAUUUAUUUUAAGAUUUUAUUAAUUUAUUUGACGCAGAGAGAGUGAGAGAGCACAGCAGGCCGAGCGGCAGGCAGAGGGAAAAGGAGAAGCCGACUGUACGCUGAGCAGAGGGCCCAGAGAUGGGGCCCGAUCCCAGGAUCCUGGGAUCAUGACCUGAGCCAAAGGCAGACACUUAACCAACAGAGCCACCCAGGCUCCCCUCCUAAUUUAAUUGAAACUGCAGUUGUAAUAAAAAGGAGAAAGAAAGGAAGAAAGCCAGCCCGGUGAGGUGAUACAAGGAAGAAAAUCUCCUGCUGUGAUAUGGGGCAGUUACCUGGAUCUCAGCAAUUCUCCGUGUACCUUGCUAGAAAACGGGGCUCUAAUAAAACCCACUUUGGAGUGUUACUGUGAGGAUGAGAUGGGCAACGACUGUCAAGGCCAGACAGACGCUUGGGAUCUAGGGACUGCUCGAUGCAUCACUCCAUGGCUAGCAGCAACUCAGAAGGAUGAAGAAGUCAGUGAAAUAUAAAGUGUAAAGCAAUUUCAUUCCUUAAAAAACUACAAGAUAGAACAAAGCACACACAUCCUUUGCCAGCUGCCUUUGGAAACCAGCUCUGUUUGCUCAUGCGCAGAAAAAAGCCAGGCCCCGGGAUGGUAUUGACAAGAACAAGAUGAAUGACCCCCUGGAGACCAUAGGGUUUGUAUUCGAGUUUCCAUCACCUUUUCAUCCUUUUGUCCCCAAUCUUGAUUCACAUGCAGAUUAACCAAGACCAACACUUCACUAAAUAAGCUUUUCACUCCAGUUUGGAAGGUAGAGGGAACAUCUAAAUAUUUAUGAGGCUUUUUCUCCCGGGUUUAUGAUGUGCUCUUGUUGGAUGUUGAGGAAUUACGUUAAUGAAUGCGUGCCUGUGCACACCGACACAGAAACCGGGCAAAGGGGAAAACACACACACACACACACACACACACACACAGAGCGCUUUGUGGGCACUCACCAAACAGUUCCCAUGAAAAGGAAGAAAAGAGAGAGGGGGAGGAAGAGAGAUUUAAAAUCUGUUGCCAGGAGAGAAAUAAAUUGUAGGGCUCAACACAAAAGCAAGAACAAAGUUUCAUCUUAGCUUUCUGGAGUUGCAAAUGUAACUGUUGUUUCAAGUCGGUACAAAUGUGAAGUAAAACAUGCUGAUUGCCCGAAAAAAAGGAGAACUGGCUACCCGGCUGUUCCCGGUGAUGAUGAAAAAUAAAGCACAGAAGUUCAGUAUUGGAAAUGUAUCAUUUAUUAGAAAACAAAGAACUAGCCAACAUUUUCUUUUAAGCAGUGCUUUACACAUGUUCCUUCAAGACAGACUCUUUGGGUACGAAUCCAUAAAAGGGUUGUCAGGGUUUUUAUUGUACUGACCAUAUAUAGUGUCUUUCUUUUCUCUGGCUUUUCAGUGUCCUGUAGAUACUGUUUUCAUUAGGCUAGCUAAAUUCCACUUUAAAGUGAAUUCACUCUAAAUGUGUUUGCAUGAAGUUAGAUCUAGUUAUGACUUAGGCUCUAAAUCAUCUUUAAUUAUGGGUAAUCUUUAUGAUAUUUUAAUAGGUAAAAUAAUAUAUUAACACACUGGAGCUGAAAUGCAGACAUAUUAAUGGCCUUAAUAUCGCACUGCUAGGAAGUCAUCUUUCCAGCCCUUUAAUCAUCCUCCUGGCCUCCCCUUUCCGUCCUGUUCUCCUAUGAACACAGAAGAGCAGAGUAGUCAGGGCCCUGCUCAUCCGGGGCUCUGCGGCUUUGUGAUUAUCUGUAAUACUUGUGCAUCAGGAUAUGAGAUUUUAAAGGGUAUUUUUUCUUCUCUAAAAAUAAAUAAAUAUAUAUAUAUAUAUAUUAUAUAUAUAUACACACAUACAUAUACAUAUAUAUGUAUAUAUAUCCUCAUAUAUAUGUGUGUGUGUGUGUGUGUAUAUAUAUAUUUAUAUAUAGCUCCUCAACUGGUAUUUAUUUUCAUUUGUAAGUCAUAAUAUACAAAAAGGCUAAGAUUGUGUUUGUUAUUUUUUAGAAUCUUUGCUCGAUUCAAGAAAUAAUUAGCCUGGCUCUCAUAACUAUCUUGAUAGGUACAAAAAAGGUUAAAAUAUCUUACCCCUGACCCCACACAGCCCACAAGGCUGCUGUGGAUGAAGGAGGUAAAGCAGAAACUAAAUCUCCAACUUCCCUUUUAAGUACUCAAGGCCUCUCUACACAUUUGGGGACAAACUGAAAGUUAGUUGUUGAGAGCUAGUAUUUCUUUCUUUCUUUCUUUCACAGUGGGGUAAAAUACAGAGCAUAGUCUCCUAUUCCCUCCUCCCCCCCAAAAAAGCUGGUUACUUGAUUAAUAGUUAUUUGAAGUCCAGGUAAUAAUUGACCCUACUUUAUUUAUGUAACGGUUAUAUAAUCUAAACAUUACAUAUUCUUAGCUUAAACCAGAGCGUCUUUAAAUCACCGUCAUCAAUAAAAACGAAGACAAAACGUUUGCACGGAAAAUGUUAACGGUCUUUCAUCUGAGACCCUGACAGGGAAUGGCAUUAACUCAGCACUAUUCCUUAUUCAUCAACUACUUACUUGUCUAGACAAAUAGGCACUUGGCUAUGUCUCAGUUGAAAGAAAACUGCAUCCAGGUUUUAAGGAAAAAUUUACUGAAACCUUCACAGAAUUGUUCCAACUCCCUACCGCCCCAACACCACCAGAAAAAAAAAAAAAAUGCAUUGUUUGGAAGGUAUUUCAGAAGGGAAUUUUGUAUUAAACUUGGAAAAUCGGUGUGAGUAUUCAGUGAGUAAGUCCAACAUAUAUCCCAUACUUGAGGCUGCUAGAGCUCAGCAGAAGGCACCUGUCACCCAGAGCGCACCUAGUAUAAAAGCACCACCCCAGACUUAUCACCAGGCCUAGGCUGAACUGACAUCUCCCACCCAACAUACAGUGGAAAACAGCAUGGCUGGCCAUUUAAAGGCCACAGCAUCAGGCCAUGAUCUGCAUGGAGUGAAAGGUCUCCAAGAAAAUUUCCCUUUACUAAAAAUACAUGAGUGCACUUCUCAAGAUUCCGAUUAGUGAUAAGCCUAUAUAAAUCUGAGAGGAUGCCAUCUGUUGUUAAGCUGAUUGAAAUUAUUAUAUUGGAUUCACCUCAGCAGGAACAACAAACAAACAAACAUAUUUUAAAACACAGAAUUGGGGCACCUGGGUGGCUCAUUUGGUUAAGUGUCCAACUCUUGAUUUCAGCUCAGGUCAUGAGCUCAGGAUCUUGGGAUUCUCUUGCUCCCUCUACCCCUCCCUGCCUCUCAAAAACAAAACAAAAAACACAGAAUACACUAAGGGAGGAAAAGUUCAGGCCUUUGCAACAGUGUUUCUGUAGAGGAACUUACUAGAAUGUACUAGAACGUGCUAGAACCGCGUUCCCUGGGAAUCCAAGAUAUCUUUUCGGGGGAGGGGGAGACUAGCACAUAAAGGUGACAGCUUGCGGGGUAGAGGAAGCUGAAGAAAAACUAUGUACAGUGUAGAAGUUUGGGAAAAUGGAAAUUACCUUUUUACCACUAAAUUUCUAAAAUACGUCUUAAUCAUAAAAUCCGCCAUAAACAAAGCAAAUAAACUGAUAUUCUCAUAUACUCAUGGUAAUACUAUAAGUUGAUAGGAGCUUUGUGCAAGAUAAUUUGUUAAGAUAUAUCAUAGAAUUUAGGAUUUGUGUGCCUUUAGGCUAUAAUAUCACUUCUGACAAUUUAUUUUAUAUAAAUCAUAGAUGGGCAAAGAUAUAACAACAUUAUUAUUUCUAAUGAGGAUUUAGAAGAAAGAAAUUGCAUUUUAUUUUUUUUUCUUAGCCGUAUUUCUAUAAUAAGCAUGAAAUAAUUAUAUAAUAAGAAGCAAAAUUUAUUAAGGAAGAAAGUUAGUCCCCUGCCAACAAAUUGCUUGGUGUCUCAUUGAUUGAGUGUCCCCUCUGGGAACUUCGUGGAAACUACUCCAGUGUCACAGAAAUGCACAGAUUCCAAGAGUGUAUGGAAAAGCUAUGUGCCAGUACUCUUAAGACCGUGUCUGUCCUGGGCCUCCUGGGUGGCUCAGUUGGUUAAGCUUCUGCCUUUGACUUGGAUCAUGAUCCCAGAGUCCUGGGAUGGAGCACUGCAUUGGGCUCCCUGCUCAGUGGAGAGCCUACUUCUCCCUCUCUCUCUCUCUGCCUGCCACUCUGCGUGCUUGCGCUCUCUUUGUCAAAUAAAUAAAUAAAGUCUUAAAAAAAAAAAAAAAGAUAGUGUCUGUCCUGACAUUAAAAUAAAGCAUGCAGAGGUCAGUGAAAUGGUCAUGUUUUGAGAAAUGUAGACAAAAUUGAAAAUUUUUAAUUAUUUCAAAUAAAAAUAUGUAUAUUUCCAAAAAUGGUGUAUAACGUCUCACUUGUCUUUUUAGAUCUAACCAACUUCACAGCAAAUAUAGGCAACACUUAGCAUUUACACUCUUCAAUAACUUGUAGACCUCCUCUCUCAUCUAACCUCUGCGUUUCCUAGAGCAACUUCAUUACCGUCAGGUUUCCUGCAAACAGAAAAGUGUUCUCAAACCAGAACUGACCUGAAUCUGUACUAAAACAGCAAGGAGCACAUGAGAUUGUCCAUAUGAAAUGUUAAAAAUGCCAGCUUUACAUUCAGUGUCAUUUUCCCUCAAGGGUUUAUCUCAUAAUUUGUGUUUCUCAAACAUUGUCAAAUAUUUGAUCCUUGAAACCUUCGCCCAACUCAUUGCAAAGUUUAGAAAUACUGCUUGUUUCAGAAUGUUGACACAGAGUUCUUCAACAUGCCAGGAACAGGCCAACCAGCCCCAGCUGUUUUCAUGGAAGCUGGGAGAGACGCUGGCCGUCCACAUCAUGACAUUGUUCCAGCCCAAAACUGUCACUACUCUGCACUGAGACACAUGGUUCACAGCUGAGCCUAAGUCCAAAGUGAAUGAAAAAGUUUACUGGCCGGGUGACAAGCACGAGACUCCCCUGACCUGUCUACCCUUUCCUCUGACAGUGUAGACACGCACUGACUCGUUCCAAAAAAAGCUGGUUUGUAAACGGGGAAGAGCUGUCUGAGAAGUAUUCGCACAAUGAAAUAAACAUUUUUGCCCAUAAUGACAACCAACCAGUCAGUUCAGUGAAAAGGGAAAACAUUUACUUUUUAGUAAUGGGUGAGUUUACUUACUCGGUUGCCUGGUUUGUUUAGUGGUUAGUCGUUAUCUCCGUGGAGGAGUCUUAAAUCUGAAUUCUCAUCCUCUGGGGAAGAACUCCCGUUAAGGAAUGUGUUAAGUUCCGAUCACGGGACUGUGAUCGGUGUUGGAGCACUCGGUCACAUGCAGCUAAGAUUGGUCACAAAUGCUUCAGGUGGCUGGUGGCUAUCACAGAGGCCUGGGCUUCUGUGUCUCUGUCCCUGACCCAUACAAUGGCAGCAGUUCGCCUUUGACUGCUUUAUGUGUCAGAUUUCCUGAACCAACAAAAAUGCAACUUCAAAACCGAUGAUCCAGCCUCGCCCCUUACUCACGUCCCCCUGUACGGGACGGCGCAAAGACGCGAGAACCAGAGCAGAUCACGACUGGAGCCCACCAACCUGGACUACUUACCUUCAAGAAAUGUUUAUGCCUUUUAAAGACUCACUAUAAUGGAGGUUCGUCGUAGACUUCUUUCCGCCAUGUCAGUGCCACCAUCCGUUUUUCCAGUGAACAAUUCAGCGCCCACUCUCAGAUUUUCUUGAUUGUUAUAACCCGUUGAUAUAAAAGAGAGAACAAGGAAUAAGUCUUAUGUAAUCCUCAAUUUUAAGCCUGAUUCAUCUAUAAAAUCAUUCAGUCUUCCUAAACUAUGUGAAUGGAAUUUGUUUGCAUAAAUCUAAUUCUACCAAAGGCUUCUAAACUGUGAACUAAUUACAUGAUCUAAUUUUGGAGCUUUUCCAAAGUUAAUCUCUAAAUUAGUUAUCUUUUGCUUUUCUUUUAUGUGUCAUCUUGCUUUUUCACAUUUCAUUAGGUAUCAAAACCAAGAGAGACAAAGUCAAGCUAUUUAUAUUUUAUCAAGUCUCAAGAUAACAGAAAAUAUUUUAUCCCAGUUAGAUCUACCGAAGAGCUAGGUGGAUCCUAAACCAAUGUCUUGGCACAGAUAAUUAUGGGCAGCGAUAUCUUAAAACAAUUUGUAAAAAUAAUACAAAGAAGGACAGUUAUUUCGCUGUAUUUGAUUUUAGUUUUCAAUUGAAAUGAACCUUUUCAUGCAGGCAUGUCUGUGCAUGUUGUAUGUUAUGUUCAGACAUACAGUGAGGGGUGGUUAGAAGGAGAAUUGGACAUUAUGUCAGAAGACAUGGGUUCAGGCCCCGUCCCAUCGCUUACUGAUUGAGAGCAGGGACAUCACCCACCAUCAUGAAUGUCAACUUUCUCCUGUAAAGUUGGGAUCCACAGUGCUCUUCCAAUCUGUUUCAAGAACUUGCCAUUGAAAUCAAAGCAGACAGUAUAUGUGAAACUUCAUUGAUGACAUGUAUAGGGUCCUAAUAACAUGUACUGGUGAGUGACGUAAUUAUGGCAAUAACCCAACAUAAGAUUUGGAGCAACUUACUUAAUUGUACUGAGCCUUAUUUCUUCUUUUACAAAAGUAGAUUAUGAAAGGUUCACAGGGGAUAGAGGUGACAUUGCAGUGUCCCACUGAGGAGAGAUGUAUUAGUUAGGACUCCUUUGUUUUUUUUAAGGGACAUGAACUCAACUUGAAAUAGUUGAAGCAAAAAAAAAAAAAAAGUCUAUUGAAAGUUUCAAGUAACCAUGGAAAAGAAGCAACAGAAGUCUCAAAAACCACUGGGACCAGAAAUUUGAAUGCUAGGAAGACUUUCUCUUCUCUCACUGCAUAUUGUUUUUCUUUUUCUUAAACGUCCUACACGUGCCCAGGACACACAGCCACCAACAACUCCUGUCCCCCAGCCCGCCCCACACAUCUCAUAAUUUUGCCCCAAGAAGAAAGAUUAAAACUUGACUAAAUUGCCCACCUCCUCAUCCCAAGCCUGAUCGCAGUUGAAAAGUCCCUGAAAAGACCCUGGCGGCCCCAGGUUGGAUCAGGGGCCCUGGCUGGGAGCGUGUCCUGAACCCCUGUUUGAACCAGGUGGUUGGAGGAAAGAGAAGCAGUUUUCCCUGAGGAGAGAGGUGGCACUCCCAGAAAGGAGGUGGCACUCUCAGAAGCAGUCAAAGCAGUAACUGCUCACAAAUGUCAGAAGGUUGGCCUGAGCCCGGGCCUUUCCGCUUCUCUCUGGAGAAGGCUACGUUAGGCUCAUGGGUGAAGCUUUCUGUCGGGUGAUGAACAAAACCGUGUCCUCCUGCGUUCUGCAGUUGGUAUGAGGAGUGAAUUAGAAUCGAUUCAGAAGUGCCUUCAGAAGUCUAAAGUGCUAACCCAGUAAGAGGUAGACUAACGGAUUCUAGUUCUCGCUGUGCCUUUCGUCUGGCCGCUAACCCAUUCCAGUGACUAAUCUCCAGAAAGUACACAACUGAGCAUCAGAAGCAUUCUCUAGUUCUAUUUUGUUAGGAAACAGCACCAUUUCAGAGUUUUUUCAUA